CUGACGGACAUUUUCUGCUACAGAUUUCAAUGUAAAUAAAAUGACUGAAAACAGCUUCAAAUCCUGCGCAGAAUACUGCAUGUGUGAAUAGACCCUAAAGAGUGGAGGCUCAUCACUGCAGCUGCCAUACUGAAAUAGAAAUAAAUAUGCCUGAAAAAUUCCCAUGCCUACCACAUCAGCUAAAACAGGGCCCAGCAUUUUUUUUUCUUUCCGGUAAACAUACUAGUGACAACUAAGGGGUUAACCUCUUCCCUUUUAAGUAAACCCGACAGGACAAAUUCCAUGCGAUGACGAAUGAGAAUUUCCCCCUGUCCCGCCAGCAAUGUGUCGCCCUCCUAUUUAUUCCGCCUUUGCUGCCUCUCACAAUAAACGAUCCUUUAAAUUUUUAUGUAUUUAUGUAAAAUUAUUUCGACAAGGCGGCACCGCGCAGAUGAGGUCCUAUUUGCAUAGUUACACUGUAAAUCCCGCAUUCGCAUUUU